rnacentral:rRNA from 1 species
GGAGGCGAAGGCGGCUUAUUGGACUGUAACUGACACUGAGGCUCGAAAGCGUGGGUAGCAAACAGGAUUAGAUACCCUGGUAGUCCACGCCCUAAACGAUGGAUACUAGAUGUGGGGAGUAUCGACUCUUCCCGUGUCGUAGCUAACGCGUUAAGUAUCCCGCCUGGGGAGUACGGUCGCAAGAUUAAAACUCAAAGGAAUUGACGGGACCCCGCACAAGCAGCGGAGCAUGUCGUUUAAUUCGACGCAACGCGAAGAACCUUACCAAGGCUUGACAUUAAAUGCAUAACAUGGAAACAUGUGAAAUUCUAUAGCAAUAUAGGACAUUCAAACAGAUGGUGCAUGGUUGUCGUCAGCUCGUGUCGUGAGAUGUUGGGUUAAGUCCCGCAACGAGCGCAACCCUUGUCGUUAGUUACCAGCACGUAAUGGUGGGAACUCUAGCGAGACUGCCGUGGAUAACACGGAGGAAGGUGGGGAUGACGUCAAAUCAUCAUGCCUCUUACGCCUUGGGCUACACACGUGCUACAAUGGCCACUACAAAGGGAAGCGAUAUAGUAAUAUGGAGCAAAACCCAAAAAGGUGGUCUCAGUUCGGAUUGUGGGCUGCAACCCGCCCACAUGAAGUUGGAGUUGCUAGUAAUCCUAGAUCAGAAUGCUAGGGUGAAUACGUUCUCGGGGUUUGUACACACCGCCCGUCACGCCAUGGGAGUUGGGGAGACCCGAAGUCGGUGAGCUAACCAGAUUUAUUUUUGGAGGCAGCUGCCUAAGGUAAAACCAGCGACUGGGGUGAAGUCGUAACAAGGUA